rnacentral:lncRNA from 1 species
GGGGUGACCCUGGGGACAGUGGGUGUGACCCUGGGACAGUGGGGGUGACCCUGGGACAGUGGGGGUGUCCCUGGGACAGUGGGGGUGACCCUGGGACAGUGGGAGGUGACCCUGGGACAGUGGGAGGUGUCCCUGCCAUGGCUGGGGUGGCCCUGGGUGGCAUUUAGGAUCCCUUCCCACCCCCAAUAAUGACCCCACUGUGCUGUGCUCCCGUGUUUGGCACAGCAGAAAUGAGCCAACGCCUGCCCGAGGUGUUGGAAUUUGGGCUGGAGGCUGGGAACAGACUCUGAUUAUAUCCCAAUCCCCGUUUUAUUUCCCCUUCCCCAACGGCUCUUACAGGAAUUUUCCAUUCCCGCCGUUGCAGACCCCAGGAUUUACCAGGACAGCCCCAAAUGUAGUUUAUUCGGAAUUUUUCGCACGCUGUGGAUCAGCUUCCAUAAAUCUCUGUGAUGUGAGGAAAGGACCCAAAAAAACCCCAUCAGGAUUGGGAUUUCACCUGAAAAACGAAUGGCCCAAAGGCACCAAGGCCGUGGUCUUUUAGGGAUUUUAGGGAUUUCAGGGAUUUCAGGAAUUUUAGGGAUUUUAGGGGGGGAGCAGCCACACCGGAGUGGCCAGGUGACCACGCUGGGGACACACAGCUGUGGAGGGUCCUCAGUGGGUCCCAAAUCCUCCCUGAGCUUUUCUGGAUUCCCCAAAUGGAAAGGAUUUAUCCCAAGCUCCGACUGCUGCUCCCAAGGCUCAUCCCUCUCCAUGGACACAGCGAGUGCCCUCUCACCUCCCUGGAAUAUCCAGCUCCUGGCUCCUUUCCCUUGCUUUCCAAGGACAGGAAGCCCUUUAGGACAAAGAAUGCUGAAAUCCCAGCGGGAAUGGCCGGAAUCGACUCCUUGUCCUGCUCCGGAGGCCUGGUGGGAGCGAUGGAUAUCUGGGGACGCUCCGAGGAUUUUCAGGCAUUGUUCAGGACUGGAGGCCAGGAGCAGAAUUCAUGCUCCAGGAAUUCCAGCAUUUCCUGAGCCGCAGUGGUUGUUCAUAGCAGCUGAGCCAAAAUUCCCUCUUAUUUACCUGCUGCAGGACAAUUGGCAGCGGGAAUGCACCUUUGGGAAUUGUGUCCCUCCCAUUCCCACCUAUUUCCUGUUUUUCCUGGGGUUGAAUCCAUCCCCGUGCCGGGGACAGGACAGCUCGCCCCGUGUCCCUCAUCCCAGAGGACACAGAAUUCCCUACCAAAAUAUUUCCCGCUAUAGAAACGCUCGGUGUUUACCCAGGACUGCUGGAGCCUGGACAUUUGGUGCCGGGAUUUGCAUUCCGUGA